GAAAACAGCUAAAGCACUAGUUGAAGAACUAAGGAAGUUGUCUAAGGAGGUUGAAGAUAGUGAGCUUGCAGAUGUUGCUGCAGUUAGUGCUGGCAACAACUAUGAAAUUGGUAACAUGAUAGCAGAGGCCAUGAGCAAGGUCGGUCGGAAGGGCGUUGUCACCCUUGAAGAGGGGAAGAGUUCUGAGAACUUUCUCUAUGUUGUGGAGGGAAUGCAAUUUGACCGUGGUUACAUCUCUCCGUACUUUGUAACAGACAGUGAGAAAAUGACUGCAGAGUACGAGAACUGCAAGGUAACUGUAAAAUAUGAGAUAUCAAUUCUUUUUUUUUUGCUGUUUAUUGCUUUCCUGUUUCAAAAGAAAAAAAAAACUCUGACCUAUUGGGGGGUGGGGGUAAGACAGUUCCUAGGCAAACAGCAGUUGCUUUCCUGUUUCAGACUAUUAAUGCUAUUGUCUUUCAUCUUCAUUGUUCAGCUGCUUUUGGUUGAUAAGAAAAUCACCAACGCAAGGGAUCUUAUCAACGUUUUGGAAGAAGCCAUCAGAGGUGCAUACCCAAUCCUGAUAAUUGCAGAGGAUAUUGAGCAGGAGGCUCUUGCUACCCUUGUCGUCAACAAGCUCAGAGGAUCACUGAAGAUCGCUGCCAUCAAAGCCCCUGGUUUUGGAGAGCGCAAGACUCAGUACUUGGAUGAUAUUGCCAUCCUUACUGGAGGUCAGCUAAACUUCCAUUCUAAAGCUUCAUUUUGAUCAUGUAUGCACCUUAUCCAUAAACAUACUUUGUUUCUGCAGCAACUGUAAUCAGAGAUGAAGUUGGGCUGUCACUUGACAAGGCCGACAAAUCAGUUCUUGGAACAGCUGCAAAGGUUGUCCUUACGAAAGAGUCGACAACAAUUGUUGGUGAUGGCAGCACCCAGGAAGAAGUUACUAAGAGGGUUGCACAGAUUAAAAAUCUCAUUGAGGUCUGACCUUUUCCUGUUCUAUUUGCUCACUUGACUUUACUGCUCAGGUGAAAGUCUGAAGCUCUGUUUUUAUGAACCUAAUUUGCAGGCAGCAGAACAAGAAUAUGAAAAGGAAAAGCUCAAUGAGAGGAUAGCGAAGCUUGCUGGCGGUGUUGCUGUCAUUCAGGUAAUGUGAAGUCCACGGGUCGCAAUGUGUUAUUUGUUCAAUGUUCUUUUCAUCGAUUCAAUGUUGCAGGUAUGGUGGAUAACCAUAAUUCAUGUAUGGCGUUGCUUGACAGGUGGGAGCACAAACAGAAACUGAACUAAAAGAGAAGAAGUUGAGAGUUGAGGAUGCCCUAAAUGCAACUAAGGUAAGUUGUCGAAGUAAUUAACUUGUGCUGCCAGAUUUAUAUUUCUCAUAUUUAAUUCACAUGUAUAAUGAUAUAUGAUGUUGGAUGAAAAAAUUAUAGAUUGUAAAUGUAGUUUGCACAAAAGAUAAAUUUUGUUGUGAAUCUAUACAAAAUUUUAGAUUUUAUGGACCAUGACUAGUUUAUGUCGAACAGACCUAGAUAGAUUUAUGUUUGUGAUUGGAGGAAGUAAAAAUCACUCCAUACUCCUUGCUUCUUGAAACAUUCUGUAUUUUCUGCUGAAUUCUCUUCUGGUUACAUAUGUAUCACUAAAGUUGUUUCUUUCUCUUCACAGGCUGCCGUUGAGGAAGGUAUUGUUGUUGGUGGAGGGUGCACUCUUUUGCGGCUUGCAGCUAAAGUCGACG
rnacentral:lncRNA from 1 species